rnacentral:lncRNA from 13 species
GAGACCAGCUGUUGAAACAAGACUCUCUUCUGGAUGGAGAGGAAGCUGAAAUCAACAGCAUCCUAGGCAGUCCAUCCUCAGGAAGACCUUCCCAGAAAAGCCUGCAGAGUCUAGAUGGAGGCAGAGAUCAUGUAUUCAGUCUGCAUGGAAAAGCUUCUAGAUUUAUCCCAAGGGGCUCUGCUGAGCAGCUCAGAGGCCUUCAGAGUGGCCUCAGACAGGUGGCCCCUGAUUCUUCGAGAAUGAAGUAGAGGGGCCCGCAGUUUCUGUUUCAUGACAUACACCCACUGUGCUGCUCCAAGAACCCCGCCCCGCACGAUUCGUCGUCCCCCCGGGGUGUAUGGAUCCCCAUCAGGACUGGUUGCAUCUCUGGAAAUGACCUCAGUCUUUGGAAUAUUUGUUCUUUUAGGCUUUUCAAACAAUGUCCUCGUUUUGCCAGAGGAAAAGGGAAAGAGACUCUCUAAACGAGCAGGCCCUCUUUUGUUCUAGGCCCAUAAAUCUGGCCAAGCACAUGUCCGGCCUUCCCGCCCCCCACUGCAUCAUUGUCCUGCUGCUGAUUAAUAGGUCAGAGCUAACUUUAAACUGGCAUUUCCUGACCAGCCCAUCUCCCUGCCUUCGACCCUGCCUGGCUGUUCUUUAAAAGUCUGCUGUAUUUUAGAACAUGGUGUCACUCUGUCCCGCUGCCUCUGCCUCACACUGUGUUCCAAGGUGACUGCAUGAAGUUUGGUCAAGCCGUCUGUGUUGUUCUGCUGUUUAUAAGUUGGCAGAAUGGCUCUUCUGAGGGCAAUGGUCAGAUGUUCAGUAAGCCCAGGGGGACCAGGCACACCUGUGAUCGGAGCCAAUGGUGUGUGGGAAUGUGGCAGCCUUUGCAUUUCGGCAGUUACUGCAGCAGAGAAGCAGAGCGGAACUCAAAGUUGUAUGUAGGAAAGCCAAGGCCUUCCUGCUGCUCCUGCCCCAUCCACUCAGGUAAGGUCACUGAGGAUGUUUCGGGAUAGGUCUUCUUUCUCAACUCUGGAAAUGAAACUCCUGUCAUGUUUUGCUGUGGACACAUCUGCCACACAGCUGGUCUUGUUGCACAAUGUAUGUUUCUCACCAGCUCCCUCAGAUCUUGCCACCAUCAGGGGACACAAUCCUUUUCUUGCCCAAGGCUGAGCUGCAGUGAUGAAAAUAGACUUUCUCCACCCUACCCCCAACCCAAUGAAGAGAAGUGGUUCUAUUGUGCCUCUGU